rnacentral:rRNA from 1 species
UACGGAGGAGGCAAGCGUUAUCCGGAAUUAUUGGGCGUAAAGCGUCCGCAGGUGGCAUUUCAAGUCUGUCGUCAAAGACUGGGGCUUAACCCUGGAAAGGCAGUGGAAACUGAAGCGCUAGAGUGCGGUAGGGGUAGAGGGAAUUCCCGGUGUAGCGGUGAAAUGCGUAGAGAUCGGGAAGAACAUCGGUGGCGAAAGCGCUCUACUGGACCGCAACUGACACUCAGGGACGAAAGCUAGGGGAGCGAAUGGG